AUUGUUUGCAACCGAUGGAUCCAAUAUGCCUCUCUUUUCAAAAGCAACUUAUUUCGGUCUCCACCGCGUCGAGGUAAAGUAACGCCCUCUAUGACCUGGUAGCGCAAUUGUGCUAUAGUGUGGCCCUUUUGAUGAAAGUGGUAUGGUACACAUAUGUGGAAGCGCAGGCAUCUUG